UACGUAGGGUGCGAGCGUUGUCCGGAAUUAUUGGGCGUAAAGAGCUCGUAGGCGGUGUGUCACGUCGGCCGUGAAAACCUGCAGCUUAACUGUGGGCGUGCGGUCGAUACGGGCAUCACUGGAGUUCGGCAGGGGAGACUGGAAUUCCUGGUGUAGCGGUGAAAUGCGCAGAUAUCAGGGAGGAACACCGGUGGCGAAGGCGGGGUCUCUGGGCCGAUACUGACGUGGAGGAAGCGAAAGCGUGGGGGAGCAAACAGG
rnacentral:rRNA from 1 species